rnacentral:rRNA from 1 species
GACGAACGCUGGCGGCGUGCUUAACACAUGCAAGUCGAACGGAAAGGCCCUGCUUUUGUGGGGUGCUCGAGUGGCGAACGGGUGAGUAACACGUGAGUAACCUGCCCUUGACUUUGGGAUAACUUCAGGAAACUGGGGCUAAUACCGGAUAGGAGCUCCUGCUGCAUGGUGGGGGUUGGAAAGUUUCGGCGGUUGGGGAUGGACUCGCGGCUUAUCCGCUUGUUGGUGAGGUAGUGGCUUACCAAGGCUUUGACGGGUAGCCGGCCUGAGAGGGUGACCGGCCACAUUGGGACUGAGAUACGGCCCAGACUCCUACGGGAGGCAGCAGUGGGGAAUAUUGCACAAUGGGCGGAAGCCUGAUGCAGCAACGCCGCGUGCGGGAUGACGGCCUUCGGGUUGUAAACCGCUGUCGCCUGUGACGAAGCGUGAGUGACGGUAAUGGGUAAAGAAGCACCGGCUAACUACGUG